rnacentral:rRNA from 1 species
AUGAACGCUGGCGGCGUGCCUAAUACAUGCACGUCGAGCGAACAGACGAGGAGCUUGCUCCUCUGACGUUAGCGGCGGACGGGUGAGUAACACGUGGAUAACCUACCUAUAAGACUGGGAUAACUUCGGGAAACCGGAGCUAAUACCGGAUAAUAUAUUGAACCGCAUGGUUCAAUAGUGAAAGACGGUUUUGCUGUCACUUAUAGAUGGAUCCGCGCCGCAUUAGCUAGUUGGUAAGGUAACGGCUUACCAAGGCAACGAUGCGUAGCCGACCUGAGGGGGUGAUCGGCCACACUGGAACUGAGACACGGUCCAGACUCCUACGGGAGGCAGCAGUAGGGAAUCUUCCGCAAUGGGCGAAAGCCUGACGGAGCAACGCCGCGUGAGUGAUGAAGGUCUUCGGAUCGUAAAACUCUGUUAUUAGGGAAGAACAAAUGUGUAAGUAACUAUGCACGUCUUGACGGUACCUAAUCAGAAAGCCACGGCUAACUACGUG